ACGCUCGACACCUACGGGAGGCAGCAGUCGGGAAUAUUGCGCAAUGGAGGAAACUCUGACGCAGUGACGCCGCGUAUGGGAAGAAGGUUUUCGGAUUGUAAACCAUUUUAGACAGGGAAGAAAAAGACAGUACCUGUAGAAUAAGCUCCGGCUAACUACGUGCCAACAGCCGCGGUAAUCUGAGCGGGCUGGCAAGGC
rnacentral:rRNA from 1 species